AUUGAACGCUGGCGGCAGGCUUAACACAUGCAAGUCGAGCGAGCGGCGGACGGGAGCGUAAUGUCUGGGACACUUCCUGAUGGAGGGGGAUAACUACUGGAAACGGUAGCUAAUACCGCAUACCAUACGAUGUGCCCAGAUGGGAUUAGCUAGUAGGUGGGGUAAUGGCUCACCUAGGCGAAUAUCCCUAGCUGGUCUGAGAGGAUGACCAGCACCACUGGAACUGUGACACGGUCCAGACUCCUACGGGAGGCAGCAGUGGGGAAUAGUGCACAAUGGGCGCAAGCCUGAUGCAGCCAUGCCGCGUGUGUGAAGAAGGCCUUCGGGUUGUAAAGCACUUUCAGCGAGGAGGCGUUACUCGCAGAAGAAGCACCGGCUAACUCCGUGCCAGCAACCGCGGUAAUAC
rnacentral:rRNA from 1 species